GCUUGAUGAGGAUGUUGAGCGAUGGGCCAGAUGUAUCCUUGAGAGGGUCUCCGAUGGUGUCACCGAUCACAGCAGCCUUGUGAGGGUCGGAUCCUUUCGGCCCGAGAGUUCUAGCAUGCUCUGAAGCUCCAGCCUCAAUAUACUUCUUCGCAUUAUCCCAUGCACCGCCGGUGUUGGAGGCAGAGAUGGCGAUCUGAACGCCCGAAACAAGAGAGCCAGCAAGGACUCCAGAAAGGGUUUCAACUCCGAAGAACGUCCCGACUAUGAGUGGAGUGAGCAUAACCAGAGCACCCGGUGGAAUCAUCUCCUUGAUAGAUGCGUCGGUCGAGAUCUUGACACAGGUGGCAUAG
rnacentral:misc_RNA from 1 species